rnacentral:tRNA from 1 species
GGUCCUGUAGGAUAACGGUUAGUCCGAAGGUUUCUGAUUGUGCGAUCGAGCAGAUCACGAAUUCCUUAAGCCGCGGUUCGACUCCGCGCAGGACCU